rnacentral:rRNA from 1 species
UACGUAGGCAGCAAGCGUUUGUUCGGAAUUACUGGGCGUAAAGAGCGCGCAGGCGGUCGUUCAAGUCGAGUGUGAAAGCCCCCGGCUCAACUGGGGAGGGUCAUUCGAUACUGAUCGACUCGAAGGCAGGAGAGGGAAGUGGAAUUCCCGGUGUAGUGGUGAAAUGCGUAGAUAUCGGGAGGAACACCAGUGGCGAAGGCGACUUCCUGGCUCGAUACUGACGCUGAGGUGCGAAAGCGUGGGGAGCAAACAGG